UCUGACUUCAUCCUUGCCCAGCCUGUGGGACAGCCAAAAAAUGCUGGGACAAGUUAAGGGCUCAGAGGUGGUGAACAGUGGAUGAAGAUAUUAGACAAAAGACUUCACCACCUACUCUGUGCUCAAGGACACCUAAACAUCUAGCUCCGCUAGACAGUAGAUUUAAGGAUGGCUCUGCGCUUUCAAAACUUGAGCACCCACUACCCUUAAAAAAACUAGCAUCUCU